UACGAAGGGGGCUAGCGUUGCUCGGAAUGACUGGGCGUAAAGGGCGCGUAGGCGGUUCGUACAGUCAGACGUGAAAUUCCCGGGCUCAACCUGGGGGCUGCGUUUGAUACGUACGGGCUUGAGUUCGGAAGAGGGUCGUGGAAUUCCCAGUGUAGAGGUGAAAUCGUAGAUAUUGGGAAGAACACCGGUGGCGAAGGCGGCGACCUGGUCCGAUGACUGACCGCGAGGCGCGAAAGCGUGGGGAGCAAACAGG
rnacentral:rRNA from 1 species